rnacentral:lncRNA from 1 species
GCCCAGAGUGCCCACCCAGAACUCCACCUCUGACCUCACAAAGGCCUGCUUCAGAACUCAGUCUCCACUGCACUGCUGGCCAGACGAGGGAAGUUAUUUUGGGCAGUGCAUCUGGACUUGGUUCAAGUGGCACCAGCCAAAUCCCUGCCUUACUGACCUCUCCCCUGGAGGAGCAGGAGCAGCGCUCAAGGCCGCCUUGGGAGGGCUGAGAGGCAGGCUCUGGACUGGGGACACAGGGAUAGCUGAGCCCCAGCUGGGGGUGGAAGCUGAGCCAGAGACAGUCACAGAGGAACAAGAUCAAGAUGCGCUUUAACUGAGAAGCCCCCAAGGCAGAGGCUGAGAAUCAGAAGACAUUUCAGCAGACAUCUACAAAUCUGAAGGACAAAACAUGGUUCAAGCAUCUGGGCACAGGCGGUCCACCCGUGGCUCCAAAAUGGUCUCCUGGUCCGUGAUAGCAAAGAUCCAGGAAAUAUGAUGCGAGGAAGAUGAGAGGAAGAUGGCGCGAGAGUUCCUGGCCGAGUUCAUGAGCACAUAUGUCAUGAUGAACAUACAUAUGAUAGUUGAGAAAGACACAUAUUCUGAUCAUGAAGAAAUAAACACAAGUUAAAUAUGACUAAGCAGAAAGAUGGAAGGACCAGGAACGGUGAUGCUAACUUGGAACCACGAUGCAGGCUCUAAACUCCUCUACAAUCAUCCUCCCUUGUGAGAAAAAUACUUGAUCUGAAGGUCCCAGCAAGGAGCCGACUCACAGAAGAAUGCAGUUUUCACAUCAUGAUGAUUUAAUCUUCCUUGACCUGAGCAAUUGACAACCCCAAUUCUCCAGAACCUCACCCGCCACAAUCCCCUUAAAAACCCUGGCCCAGAACCCCUCAAGCAGACAGAUGUGAAGCUUGAGGAUUCCUUCAUCUCUUUGCCCAAUGGCAUUGUGAUUAUUAAACUCUUUUUCUGCUGCAAAUUAUGAUGUCUCAGUGUAUUGGUCUAUUGCUGCUCAGUGGGCAUAUGAAUCUGGCAGUCCUGUAAUAGGGACAAAAGAUAAACUACUGGCAAAACACUCGUAAAAGUCAUAACCUAAGACAUAGGCCCACUGAAAGGCGGAUAUUCAAUCAGAGCACUGUAGAACAUAUUUCUCUGCUCAUACCAUAAAAUUUAAACCAACAUGACUCCAAUAUAAGGAGACAGACAAAAGAGCUAUAAGAAACAGACACUGUUUGAAGAUGAGUACUUAAGGAAACCUAAAGUUAAGGGAGGAGACAAAAACAAGGACACUAGAGGAAUUUGAAACCUUCAGAAACUUGAGCUAUAACAAAUAUUAAAUGCAGUUCAACUCCAAGACAGAUUAACAUAUAUCCUCAAUUAACUUUAUCUCAGUAUCAAUUUAUCUCAGCAUCAAUUUAUCUCAAUAUCUAUUAUGGAUACCACAUGUCUGGCUCUCAACAAUGGCAACAAAAUUACAAAACAUGGUAAAAGGCAAGAAAAAAAUUAACAAUCUGAAGAGACAGGAUGAUCAUCAGAACAAGACUCAGUGAUGAUGAUGCAUAUUUUGGAAAUAGCAAUCAAGAAAUUUACAUAACUAUGAUUAAGAUGUUAAGGACACUAGUGGAAAAUGUAGAAAAUAUUCAAUAAAAGAUGAUUAGUAUAAGCAGAGAGAUGAAAAUUCUAACAAAGAACCAAAAUAAAAGGCUAGAAAUUAAAAUAACGCCAAUAGAUUUUUUUAAAAUGCUUUCAAUGGUUUCAUUAGUAGACCAGACAUGUUUGGGGAAAGAAUUGGUGAAACUAAAGAUAGGUCAAAAAUACAUUUUAAAACAAAGUGCCAAGAAAAAAUAAACGGAAAAAAAAAGUGAAGGACAUCAAAGACCCGCUGGGCAGUUUCUAAAGUUGUACAAAAUGGGAAACUGGAAUAGCAGAAAGACAAGAAAGAGAGAAAUGAGGAGAAUCUAUCUAAAUGAGUAAUGGUCAAGAAAUUUUAAAACAUAAUGACAUGAAACAAACAACCGGUCCAGGAAGCUCAGAGAAUACAAUUCAUGACAAACAACAAAAAUACAGCACCAGACAUAGC